rnacentral:rRNA from 1 species
UACCAGCACCCCGAGUGGUCGGGACGAUUAUUGGGCCUAAAGCAUCUGUAGCCGGUCCUACAAGUCUUCCGUUAAAUCCACCUGCUUAACAGAUGGGCUGCGGAAGAUACUAUAGGGCUAGGAGGCGGGAGAGGCAAGCGGUACUCAGUGGGUAGGGGUAAAAUCCUCUGAUCCAUUGAAGACCACCAGUGGCGAAGGCGGCUUGCCAGAACGCGCUCGACGGUGAGGGAUGAAAGCUGGGGGAGCAAACCGG